rnacentral:rRNA from 1 species
CAGUCGCCGCGGGAAUACAGAGGGUGCGAGCGUUAAUCGGAUUUACUGGGCGUAAAGCGUGCGUAGGCGGCUUCUUAAGUCGGAUGUGAAAUCCCUGAGCUUAACUUAGGAAUUGCAUUCGAUACUGGGAAGCUAGAGUAUGGGAGAGGUUGGUAGAAUUCCAGGUGUAGCGGUGAAAUGCGUAGAGAUCUGGAGGAAUACCGAUGGCGAAGGCAGCCAUCUGGCCUAAUACUGACGCUGAGGUACGAAAGCAUGGGGAGCAAACAGGAUUAGAUACCCGAGUAGUCCCUGUCUCUUAUAC